AGUCGAGCGGAAACGAGUUAUCUGAACCUUCGGGGGACGAUAACGGCGUCGAGCGGCGGACGGGUGAGUAAUGCCUAGGAAAUUGCCCUGAUGUGGGGGAUAACCAUUGGAAACGAUGGCUAAUACCGCAUGAUGCCUACGGGCCAAAGAGGGGGACCUUCGGGCCUCUCGCGUCAGGAUAUGCCUAGGUGGGAUUAGCUAGUUGGUGAGGUAAGGGCUCACCAAGGCGACGAUCCCUAGCUGGUCUGAGAGGAUGAUCAGCCACACUGGAACUGAGACACGGUCCAGACUCCUACGGGAGGCAGCAGUGGGGAAUAUUGCACAAUGGGCGCAAGCCUGAUGCAGCCAUGCCGCGUGUGUGAAGAAGGCCUUCGGGUUGUAAAGCACUUUCAGUCGUGAGGAAGGUGGUGUAGUUAAUAGCUGCAUUAUUUGACGUUAGCGACAGAAGAAGCACCGGCUAACUCCGUGCCAGCAGCCGCGGUAAUACGGAGGGUGCGAGCGUUAAUCGGAAUUACUGGGCGUAAAGCGCAUGCAGGUGGUUUGUUAAGUCAGAUGUGAAAGCCCGGGGCUCAACCUCGGAAUAGCAUUUGAAACUGGCAGACUAGAGUACUGUAGAGGGGGGUAGAAUUUCAUGUGUAGCGGUGAAAUGCGUAGAGAUCUGAAGGAAUACCGGUGGCGAACGCGGCCCCCUGGACAGAUACUGACACUCAGAUGCGAAAGCGUGGGGAGCAAACAGGAUUAGAUACCCUGGUAGUCCACGCCGUAAACGAUGUCUACUUGGAGGUUGUGGCUUUGAGCCGUGGCCUUUCGGAGCUAACGCGUUAAGUAGACCGCCUGGGGAGUACGGUCGCAAGAU
rnacentral:rRNA from 1 species